UUCCCUUCAGAAGUGGGAUCAUAUUUUAGCCAUGCCACCCAAACGCAGCUGUCACUGCAGGUGUUGGUUUUGCGUUGACCGUAGGUUCAAAGGAGAGGCGGGAGGAGGGAGAUGAGUUGGUGUGGAGUGACUGAUGAGUGUGUGGAUGAGAGGGGCAAAGGUAAACCCUAUACAGCAAAACAGUCUGGAUGGUGGAGAGACCUGUGUGCACCCACUUAUGCACACCCACAUGCACACACACAAACUUAAAUGCAGACACACACGUCAAGUCACAGUCACGCAGAUGCACGCCACACACAGACUGUGUCUGGGGGCAGAUUUAAUCAGGGUGACACCCAUCUCAGAGCGGUGGUAGCAGCAUGGCAGUGGCCGUGGUCGUCUCUGGAUGCCCGGCAAGAUGAGCAGUCAGAGCACUGACACACAUCUCGUCGCCACGUCAAUUCCAAUCAGCGGUGCCUGUCAGUCAAUGUGCCGUGCUCACAACAGACCGAGCAGGGCUGCCGUCUCAGCCAAAUAAAUGGCCAAAGCUGACCACACCAAAACUACCACUUAUCCCUUGAUGCAGUGACAAUUCAGAGCGAAAACACAACGUGAUUGAUAGACUCUUUAUAGGACAAGCUCAUCUGCAUUUUAAGGAUUUUCAUAUUACAUUUUGAUCCCAUUAUUACAUUAAGUCAUCAGUAAAUUAAAAAGACAAGAGUAUACAGCUUUACUAACUGCAUUGUUUCAUGCUCUAAGCUAAAUGCUAUACAAUGAAAUUGAUAAAAAGCUAAUGUUUAGCAUGUUUAACAGUCACUGAUUAGGGCUAAACAUAAGUAAAGGUGCGGGUGGAUGGGAUUCUCAUAUGUAUGAUUUUUUGAUUUUGUCAGCCUAUCCAAUUGUCAUCAAAGUCACAAAGAUUCAUUCUCUGGGGACCAUAAAUAUCAGAAAACAUUUCAUAGCAAUCCAUCCAAUUAAGUGCUCAGAUGCAGACCUACAGCCUGACAUUUCUUUCCCCCGAGCCAUGCCGCUAGUUGUGGCUCAAAGAGAACAUCAAGGGGAUACAGUAUGAUUUAAGGUGCUUCACUUGAAUAUGAGACAAGGCAAAAUGAGCAAGACUUCAGGUCAAUGCCCCAUUGGAGAGUGCCGAUAAUGACCCAGGCUGGGAGGAGAGCAGAUCUCCACUGAUCAAGGCGGAGCUGACGUAAUCCCUUCGGACGGAGAACACGGAGCAGCAUGAGAGACAGAACAUGGCACAACAUUAAACCCGGAUCAAAGGGCCUGCUGUCUCCACUGCGCGGCAGGUGCCUUCUGGGUCCCCCUCGCCAUCAACAGGCGGCAGAACUGCUGUUACCCACCCUCUCGACAAAACUCAAAAGCACCAGCCUCCGCGCUAACACCUCAAAGUCACGGCAAAGUCAAAGUCGAGAGCCGGCGAGAGACAAAAGGAGGGAAGAAAACAAAUCUUCUCUGAAUGUCUUUGUAGUUCAAAGGACAGCAGUUGUCACUUUCUUUGAGCUUGAGUUUUCAAACGUUUGAUGCAGCGAACGACCUGAACCUUGAGGAGGGUGUGUUUCUGCUGAAAAUGUAUCUAUCAUGGCAUGAGAGGAGGGAGGCGGGGGCGUGCAGAGGCUACGAUGAAGGUGCCGGUUGAUGUGCUGAAAGGGAGGGCUGUGAAAAGUAGUAAUGAGUGUACCUGGACUAGAUUCCUGAGCUGGGAGAACUGUUAGGAGACGAGAAGAGAGGAGAAGUGUAGGUAAGGGCUAAUUAUAAAAAUAAAGUGCCCCCAUUAUCCCCGGCGCUGUACUGCCCUAGUGAACAAAGCUACAACAGAUGGGGUGUCAUGAGGAACUGUGCCAAUGUGAGCCAAAGCCCUGGAGUGGAUGGACCCUGGCAGGCCACUGUUGGAGCAACACUGGCAAGGGGGAGCCACAGCUGCAUAUCUUGCCCUUAGACACAUGUUGACAGUGUUUCUCUAGCCCUGCCUACACUAGUCAAGGUGUCAGCGCUGCCUUUUGUUUCAGCAUGGAGGAACAUCGUGCCAAAGCCGCAUCCACUAAAAAGAACGGCGCUGAUGAACGAGCCUUGAACCACGGCUAGAAGAGCACAGCUGACGGAGGAACGAAACGCCACGGAGACGAUUUGAAGUCUGCCAAACAAUCCUGCGUCUGUUGCUAACGGAAGAUUGAUUGGAAACACAUGGUCCAAAAAUGACGUCCAUUAUUUGCUUGAUAAAUCUGCUGUUGUCAAUCGCAGUGCUCAGAGGAAGAUCGCAUGGAAUGGCUCUGUGGGUAAUUUGGUUCCAAGUAGCAGAGACCAGCACAGCGUUGGUGGCGGCGCUAUCAACUAUGAAAACAGCCUCCUUUACCCAGCGUUCGCUGACAAACAUGGCAUAUCAUUUGUCCUGUCAGAUUUGCCGAUUUCAUUCAUUGUAGUGAGAAAAGCCGGAAAGCAGACAAUUGCCAGGGAGAGAGAAAAAAGACCAAACAGGACCUGCGAAGGAGAGGAGUGAAUGAUGGGGUGACUAGGGAGGAGAGACAGCUCAGAGAUUCCUGUUAUUCUCCUCCUCGGCUAAACACAAGCACACAUUGGUGCAGAACUUAACGGGACGUCACAUUUAGUCUGUGUGCGCGUGUCUGUGUGUGCACUGUACAACAUGUGUGUCUUUCUAUGGGGGGUCGUGGCAGUAGGCUGAUAAUCCCUCCACGCCCCCAGGCAGUGGGGGCUCAUUGUAGAGUACAUUGAGUCUAAUAGGAGCGGGCGCUGCAGUUGUAUGCAGCUCUCCCAGCUCCCACUGUGAAAAGAGUUUUACAUAAUUAAUGACUGUUGAUGUUUCCCAGGUAGUCGCCCGGCAAAUUCACUCCAGACUCGGCUGCCACCGUCGCCGGUUCCACAGAGAAUGAGCGACACCAGAACAGACAGCUUACAUUACAGGCAUAAAUAAGGCAAUUUUGUACAGUGUCUUCAGACAUUACUGUGAGGGGGGUUCAGGGCCAAUGAUUCGACUUGCUUCAGAGAAACGCUCAGAAAGAGCUUUUCAAUGUCUCGGAGUCUUCAGAGAAUUUACGCUUGAUGCAAGUAAAACUGCUUCCUUUAGUGUUUUUAUAAUUCUGUAUGCUGUUAGAGGCACGCGGAUAGGAACGAUGUGCCUUUCCAGGAUAACAGUUGACGGCUCCAGACGGAUGAUGAUUCACAUCCGCAUGAAUCCGUCUAAUCUGAAUGUCGAUCUAAAUACAUGUGAGCCUGGUGGUCUGGUUUUGUAUGUUCCAGACCUGCCGACACUGGCGAGGCCUUUUGGCCCCGCACAUAUUGCUAGGAGGCAGUCCACAUUUAUUCUGGAGCACAUUAAAUUAAACAUUUAAACACGA